rnacentral:lncRNA from 1 species
GUAUUUUAUUCUUCUUCCAACAUUUCCCAAAACAGAGAAAAAAGAUCUCUUUCUACAAGCAUCACAUGUUCUAUUUAUAGGAAGAUUAAACAAGAUAAUUUACGAGUCGGUCACCUCGGCUUGGAGUCUAGCCGUCCAUGUCACACAAAUUUGUCAGGUGGCGGACGGUCAGGGUUCACCCACGUCCUCUUCUGAUGAUGACUUCACGAUUUUACUAGGGGGCGGGUGUGGGCAGAGUAGCCUGUCACGAGCGGCAGUAGUCCCAUAUGAUCAGGUGGUAAUUUAGGUGGUUUACACGUGGCUUUUAA